UAAGCGGAGGAAAAGAAACUAACAAGGAUUCCCCUAGUAACUGCGAGUGAAGCGGGAAAAGCUCAAAUUUAAAAUCUGACGGUCUUUGGCCGUCCGAGUUGUAAUUUAGAGAAGCGUCUUCCGCGCCGGACCGUGCACAAGUCUCCUGGAAUGGAGCGUCAUAGAGGGUGAGAAUCCCGUCUUUGGCACGGAUGCCUGGUGCUCUGUGAUGCGCUCUCGAAGAGUCGAGUUGUUUGGGAAUGCAGCUCAAAAUGGGUGGUGAACUCCAUCUAAAGCUAAAUAUUGGCGAGAGACCGAUAGCGAACAAGUACCGUGAGGGAAAGAUGAAAAGCACUUUGGAAAGAGAGUGAAACAGUACGUGAAAUUGUUGAAAGGGAAACGCUUGAAGUCAGUCGCGUCGACCGAGACUCAGCCUUGCCUCGGCUUGGUGUACUUCUCGGCCCGACGGGUCAGCGUCAAUUUUGCCCCUCGGAUAAUGGCAAGGGAAAGGUGGCACCUUUACGGGUGUGUUAUAGUCUCCUGUCGCAUGCGAGGGUUGGGAUUGAGGAACUCAGCGCGCACCUUUGGUGUCGGGGCUUCGGCCCACGUCACGCGCUUAGGAUGCUGGCGUAAUGGCUUUAAACGACC
rnacentral:rRNA from 1 species